rnacentral:rRNA from 1 species
AGUGAACGCUGGCGGUAGGCCUAACACAUGCAAGUCGAACGGCAGCUGGGUUUGGGCUUGCUCUUACGGGUGACGAGUGGCGUACUGCUGAGGAAUGUACCCGAUUCUGCUUUUUCGUGAGGCAUAACGUAGGCUAAUUUACCCUACUAUCUCCUACGCCCUACGGGUGAACGCAUGGCCUUUUCCGGCCUUUCGCGCCUCUAUGAGCCGACGUCGUUUUAGGUAGUUGGCGGGAUAAAGCCCCACCAAGGCGACGAUCCGUAGCUGGUCUGAGAGGAUGAGCAGCCACACUGGAACUGAGACACGGCCCAGACUCCUACGGGAGGCAGCAGUGGGGAAUAUUGGACAAUGGGCGCAAGCCUGAUCCAGCCAUGCCGCGUGGAGGAAGAAGGCCUUCGGGUUGUAAACUGCUUUUGUACGGAAAGAAAAGCAGUAGGUUAAUACAGGGCUGUCAUGACGGUACCGAAAGAAUAAGCACCGGCUAACUUCGUG